AUCUCGUAUCCCGAUAACAGCGAGGAAAAAAAAAACAUGAGUAGCUUGUAUUAACUUCUCCACAAGGACUUUCCGUGGUGUCUUCAGCGGAGAGUUGUUAGCAACGCCUGAUACAUCCUGGUGCCGACUGACGCCUUGGAAAAAGCUGGAGAAAGAGAGAAGAGAAGGUAAGAUAAUGAUGAUGGCUGGAGUGGAUGGCAAACACGAGGUCAGCGAAGAAGUUGCGGAUAGCGAUAAAGGAAGAGAGAUAGUUGGUGAUAAGGAAGUGGAAACGGAUGAUAGCGGCAGCGAAGAAGAAGGAACCGAUAACGAUGACGAAGAAGAAGGAACCGAUAACGAUGACGAAGAAGAAGGAACCGAUAACGAAGACGAAGAAGAAGGAACCGAUAACGAAGACGAAGAAG